rnacentral:misc_RNA from 1 species
AAGUCGUAACAAGGUUUCCGUAGGUGAACCUGCGGAAGGAUCAUUAGUGAAUUAAACAUGCUUGGUGUCUUCGCUUCGGCAAGGCCCUUGCUUAAAUCACAUCCUAACACCUGUGAACUGUAAGACGUAUGAUGAGGUCUUUGGCCAAGUCAUCGUCUGCCCAUUUUUAACAAACAAUUAAUGUAACAAACGUAGUCUUAUUAUAACCUAAUAAAACUUUCAACAACGGAUCUCUUGGUUCUC